ensembl:lncRNA
AGUUUUCAAUCUCCUCUCUCUCUUUCAGGAGAUUCAAUAGUUUUCAAUCUCCUCUCUGUCUUUUCAGGAGAUUCAAUAGUUUUCAAUCUCCUCUCUCUUUUCAGGAGAUUCACUAGUUGUGGACUUUGUACUUGUGCGUCAAUGUCAAAGUAUGUUUGACUCCAUGUACUUGGCGUCUGGUAUUAAAAAAAAGGCAGUUAACUUAACACCUUAAAUUGCCCCGUUGAAGCAAGUCGAUUGAAGCAAGUUGAGUGCUAGGUGCUGCUGGGUUCAGUUUGGAACCUUUCACCUGCUGAAUGCCUUAGGGCUUAACUGAAGCAUCCGUCUUCUAGGAAGAGAUAGAGAGAGACCAUGGUGGUGUCAACGAUGGCACCCUAUUCCCUACGUAGUGCACACAAGUAGUGCACCAUCAAGGGAAUAGGGUGCCAUUUGGGAUGCAUUGGGGUAACCCGUUAACACCAAACUCUAGAGGUUACUACAGGUCAGACCGUAUCUCAUUAACACCAAACUCUAGAAGUUACUACAGGUCAGACCGUAUCUCAUCAACACCAAACUCUAGAAGUUACUACAGGUCAGACCGUAUCUCAUCACCACCAAACUCUAGAGGUUACUACAGGUCAGACCGUAUCUCAUUAACACCAAACUCUAGAGGUUACUACAGGUCAGACCGUAUCUCAUUAACACCAAACUCUAGAGGUUACUACAGGUCAGACCGUAUCUCAUUAACACCAAACUCUAGAAGUCCCUACAGGGAAAACAGGAAGUCAUAGGAAGUAGUGGGAAGUGCAGCCAAAGGAAAACCACUGCAAAUACUACUGUACCUCAGGGAGUAGUACACCGUUUAAACUUAAUAUCACCACAAAAUCAAUAGGCCGCAUCAAAGAAACAAAACAUUAAAAACAUUCAAAUUAAUCCCACUUGUAAGGCACAAUAAAAUGGACAAAGUUUAGACUCAUUUCAAAAACAAAUACUACUAAAAAAAAGAAAACAAAUAUCUCAGAAAACAAAAGUUCCUUGAGUACGGUGUCUUGGCAUUGGUUGUCUAGUGAAGAGAAGGGGAGGGGUAUCGACCAAUACAACUUUUACUGAUCCUGAUGCCUCCCACUAAACACAAUCCUGAUGCCCCUCCCACUAAACACAGCCUGAGGCAGCCUCUCAGAAGUACCAGGAUGGAAGAGCCUGAGGCAGCCUCUCAGAAGUACCAGGAUGGAAGAGCCUGAGGCAGCCUCUCAGAAGUACCAGGAUGGAAACUCUCUCUUUACUGUUAAGGAGAGAGCCUUGUGUGGCCCAACUAGUACUCUAUUCCCUAUGUAGUGCACUACUUUACACCAGGGCCCAAGGUGCUUUGGUCAAAAGUAGAGCACUAUAAAGGGAAUAGGGUGCCAUUUGGGAUGCAUUCAGGGAGGAGAAGGCAACGAACAGAAAGAGGUUUAAAAAGUCCCUGGUAGGCGGGCGGAUCAGGCCGUUCUGGCAUCUCAGCCCCUGUUAGAUGGACAGAGGGAGAGAGGUGUUCAGUCGUUGUGUUUAUCCGAGGCUGUGAGGGGGGGGCUCAUUCAGUAGUUGUGUUUAUCCGAGGCUGUGAGGGGGGCUCAUUCAGUAGUUGUGUUUAUCCGAG